GAUGAAGAACGCAGCGAAAUGCGAUAAGUAGUGUGAAUUGCAGAAUUCAGUGAAUCAUCGAAUCUUUGAACGCACCUUGCGCCCUUUGGCUAUUCCGAAGGGCAUGCCUGUUUGAGUAUCAUGAACACCUCAACUCUUCAUGGUUUUCCAUGAUGAGCUUGGACUUUGGGGGUCUUGCUGGCCUGUGGGUCGGCUCCUCUCAAAUGAAUCAGCUUGCCGGUUUUUGGUGGGCAUCACAGGUGUGAUAACUAUCUACGCUUGUGGUUUUCCACCAGGGUAACCUUCAGCAGUGGAGGUUCACUGGAGCUUACAAAUGUCUCUCCUCUGUGAGGACAGCCCUUUGAAUGUUUGAUCUCAAAUCAGGUAGGACUACCCGCUGAACUUAAGCAUAUCAAUAAGCGGAGGA
rnacentral:misc_RNA from 1 species